GGAUGUUUUACAUUCAGAGUUGAUUAUAGCGCAAAACAUAGCUUCUAGUCAACUAAGACCAUAGUAUAUCCUACUAGAGGUGCCCCUGUUGUCGCAGAAAACUAUGGAUCUAGAGAAGAAUAACUCGAAAAAAAUCACUAGCAUAAUCAUACAGACUGAUCAGCUUUGGUAAAUAAAAAAUUUUCAAUCAGAACCUAAUCUACAAUUUAGAAUUUGAGGUUUCUUUAAAUGUUGAGAUUGGAUUAAUUAAGAAAGAUGACAUUAAAUGUAGAAAAAAUUCAUCAAGAUAGAAUUGUGGAAAAGAUAGCAGGAAAUUUGGAAUUGCCAAAACAUUCCAUUCAUCAAAAUAAAGGUGCUUCCUUUAACAAGAUUUCCACUUUAUUCUUAAAUCAGGGUGUCCAGCGAUUCUUUAAAAAAAAUGCAAGGACUUUUCAUGGUUUUUAUGGUCUACAAUAACUUUUUUCAAGAAAAUCAGUUGCGAAUUAAAGUGUUCCAUUGGAAUUGAUGAAGUUUUGGCCUGGAGGAAUGAAAUAUUUACUUGCAAGCAAAUGUGAAAUAAUUGCAUCAGAUUUUAUAUCUUUCCGAUGUUCUAUUGCAAAAUGUAAAAAUGUAAAGGAGAAAAGAAAGGAGCAGUAACAAAUAUUGUAAUUCGCAUAGAAAAUUGUUUCAUCUCGGACAAGGACGAAAAAAUUGUAAGGAUAUUUAUACUGUCGUAGAGUCCGCAGUUGCCGCCACAAUGACGGAAUUUAAAACUGAAGGGCAAAAUAUUCACCAAAACAACAGAUCCAGUGAUAACAGUCAAGGUGGAAGUCGUCGUGGCGUAAAUAACAAUCGUCCCAAACGGGGAUUCAUUCGUCGUAGAGGCAGUUAUCGCGGUAGCUAUCGUGGUAAUUACCGUUGUAGUUAUCGUAGUACCUAGUUAUCGCGGCGGCAGAUAUCAUUGUAGUCAUCGCGGUAGUUAUCGCGGUGAUACUCAUCACAGAGCCUAGUAUGUGAAAAAAGAAAAAUAAAUUGCGUUAACAAUUUAAUAAAUUGUCAAAUUUUUAUUAUCCAUUAAGGGAAUUUGAACUAUUAUGACAUCACAGUCAUAAAAUAAAUGUUCUGUUAAAAUCUGUGGCGUCUUAAUGGUCCGAAAACCCUUAAUAGACACCCAAACAAUUGAACAUUAGUUCAAUUUUUAAUAGACGGCUUAGAACGCUGGUUAUUAAAUAUUUACAAAUAAAAUUGCUUCAACUUCUGUUUUAAAGGUUAACUAAUUUUCUGUAAAUAAUUGAAUAGGGAAUUUCGAAAAGGGCUCAACACGGAUCUUUUUUCAAAUUUCACUUUUUUGUAUUUUUUGCAUUAUUACAUAUUCAUUGAUGUAUUCUUUAAGGAGACGUUCCAG